GAAUGUGAGGGUGAUCUGGCUGGGACAUCCGUCACCUCAUUGAUCACCAAGGUUGAUCUGGCUCAUACAGCUGGCUGGGCGAGUGUCUCCUUCCUCCCUGACUGCUCCAUGUUCAUCCCUCCCAAAGCUGCAUGCUCAGUCUAAGAGGAUGGCCUUCCCCUAAUAGAGAAAGGACUGUCUUUGGUAGAGGGUAUAUGCUCUUCUGCUAGAACCUCCAAAUAAGCUCUCAAGGUCUAUAAAAAAAAGAUAAUCCCUUACAAAUGUGAGUCUAGGAAUUC
ensembl:misc_RNA 7SK 7SK RNA